UCUCUAUCCCAAGGCCAGAGAAAUUGAUUAUAAUUCCAUCUAAAGGAAUUGUGAUGCUACUGGUGCUUCUACUGGUGCCACAACCUUGAAUUUGCUGAGCAUGCUGCAUAACAACUCUCUUGAGGCAUUUCCUGCUGCUGCAUUGACUCCAACUCACUGUUUUGAGCUUGAUUUGGGGAAGCUUCUUGGAGUUGAGCAUUUUCAGCAAGUGGAUUCUGCUGCAUUUCCUCACCAGGGAUCAAAGGAGCUUCAACUGCGGCAUCAUUAUUUUCUGGAAUAAGAGGAAUCACAACUUGUUCAGGACCAGCAACAGGAACGAAAAGAGGCUGAUCAGCUUGGUUGACUGAGCUAACAUUGGAGCCUUGGUUUUGGUCAUCCUGAUCAUCUCCGAUUGGCCAUUCCCCAAAGCCUUGCUGGUUCAUCUGAUUUUCUGCCCAUUCAGCCACUUGUUCAGGUUCUCCAGGGGCUACAGGUCCUUCAUGAGGGUGAGGGUUACCAUUGUUUGGAGGGGGUGGGAUUUCCUCAUCGGGCAUCAUAUCUGCAAAUUCAUUGUUGAGGAUAUACACAGGCACAGUCCAAGAUCUCCCCUCUCCAUCUAUAGUUCUACCAGCUUUCAGUUUCAGGCUACGAGGUAUUUCUAGUAGAUCCUCAAAUAGUACUUUCACCAAUACCCUUGACAAACUGUAAUCUGUAGCAUGCCAAUGAAGAACCUGAGCAAAAGGGCUACAUGCUUUAUCUAUAUAUUGUUUUUCCUUGUAAUCCAGGGGGUAUCCCAGAAGUAAAAUCCAACCAAUCCUAUUGAAAGGUGACCUCUUACAGUUCAUGGCAGCAUCAUGAUUAACAAAAGUUACAGUAUGAGGGCCGACCUGGUGCGGGCUAGUAUGGACCAGAAUAUCACGCUCACAAGAGUUUCUGAACUUGUAGAUGCCGACACCAUGUGGAUGAAUGCUAUAUGUUGCGAUCUCCUUUCUCAUUACCGUAGUCACGUAGUGGCUGAUCUCGUGGAGCAAGGCCAGUCUUUGCGCCGGGGUCAGCGCAUCUUCAGUGGUGGCAAUCGCGUACUCCUCAUGACGCUUGACCGCCGGAACUCCCAAGCAGACAGUGGUUCGGACUCGACGCCCUGGUCCGCCAUCCUCCUCCACCAUCCCCACUGGGAUGUAGGGAGCAGGGUUGAUAGCAAAGUUCAUGUCGACCCUCCUUUCUCCUUCGCUAAGGGUGCUUGUGGAAGGAGAGAAGUGCUCUAGAGGUUGGUGGACUGGGGAUGAAACUGGAGUGCUGAUGAUUUCUGGCUGGGAGGAAGGAAUGUCGCUCCUAAUAGCCGAGUUUUCGCAGAAAAAUGAGGAGGCGUUGCUUGCGUUAAAGCUGUUCGCCGCAUGCACCUCGAAGCUUG